CCUACGGGUGGCAGCAGUGAGGAAUAUUGGUCAAUGGUCGGGAGACUGAACCAGCCAAGCCGCGUGAAGGAGGACGGUACAGAGUAUCGUAAACCUCUUUUGUCAGGGAACAAAGACAGGCACGCGUCCCCGGAUGCGUGUACCUUAAGAAAAAGCAUCGGCUAACCCCGUGCCGGCAGCCGCGGUAAUACGGAGGAUGCGGGCGUUAUCCGGAUUUAUUGGGUUUAAAGGGUGCGAGGGGGGUCGGUUAAGUCAGUGGUAAAAGACAGGGGCUAAACGCCUGACGGCCAUUGAUACUGGCAGUCUUGAGUGGGGGAGAAGUAUGCGGAAUGCGUGGUGUAGCGGUGAAAUGCAUAGAUAUCGCGCAGAACCCCGAUUGCGAAGGCAGCAUACCGGCGCCACACUGACGCUGAGGCACGAAAGCGUGGGUAUCGAACAGGAUUAGAUACCCCGGUAGUC
rnacentral:rRNA from 1 species